rnacentral:rRNA from 1 species
AGCAGCCGCGGUAAUUCCAGCUCCAAUAGCGUAUAUUAAAGUUGUUGCAGUUAAAAAGCUCGUAGUUGAAUUUCGAGACCGGCUUACUGGUCGUGCUUUUGUACGUACUGGUAUAAUCGGUUUCUCCUUUCUGACGAACUAUAAUGCCAUUAAUUUGGUGUUAUAGGGAAUCAGGACUGUUACUUUGAAAAAAUUAGAGUGUUUAAAGCAGGCUCACGCUUGAAUACAUUAGCAUGGAAUAACGGAAUAGGACGUUUGAUUCUAUUUUGUUGGUUUCUAGGAUCGACGUAAUGAUUAAUAGGGAUAGUUGGGGGCAUUAGUAUUCAAUUGUCAGAGGUGAAAUUCUUGGAUUUAUUGAAGACUAACUACUGCGAAAGCAUUUGCCAAGGAUGUUUUCAUUAAUCAAGAACGAAAGUUAGGGGAUCGAAGACGAUCAGAUACCGUCGUAGUCUUAACCAUAAACUAUGCCGACUAGGGAUCGGAUGAUGUUAAUUUUUUAAUGUACUCAUUCGGCGCCUUA